ensembl:lncRNA
ACCAGCUAUUCGUCCAUUUACUCAGUCAACAGUAUAACAAGGAAGUCCUCUGAGAAGAGAAUUCACACAUACACAAAUUUCUGGAACAAGAGCUGUGGAUGAGAAAAUAGGAACCCCCAGCUUCCCAAGGACAAAGCUGAGACAAGAUGAAGUGAAAACUCUGUGAGCUCCUCACGGGAGAAUUGAGGCUGAGUGGGGCAGUGAGGAUUCCCCGCCAGACACACAGACGAUGUGCGUGAGGUUUAACCUCUGAAUGUGAAACCUGAGAAAGAAAUUCUGUGUUACUAUGCCACAUAAUACAAAAUGAGGGCUGAACUCGCUCCUGGGAGAGAAAAAUCAUUUUAAAACAAAAAAUGACAGAAAUUGAAUUUCAUUCCUCUAAUGCACAACCUCUGGUUAAAUGUCUGAGAGUCUAGCCUCUGGUGUUUUCUGUUUUCAGUCACUUGUGUUAACUGUUUAAUGAAUAUUUCGGAUAGCAUGGUGGUGUGAUUAAGCAGAGAUCUUAGGGAAAAAUCCAAGUUCUCACUGUUCUGCCCACUUAGGAGAGCUCCUGAGGGGAUAAGGUGACUAGUACCACCCAGGAUGUGGAGUCAUCUCUUCCUGUAUUUUCUUGAACUAUGUGGAAUUGAGUCAGUUGCAUAAUUUCUCAGUAAAGGAGUAAGAAUUUGUGCUGAGAAGGUCAGCACCCAGGCUCUGAAUUAGACAUCAUUUCUAUGAAAAGCCUGUUUCUUACUAAGCAGCUCAUUUUGCUUAGCUUCUUGGCUGUUGAUCCCUGGCUUACCUGCGUAGUCUGGACAACAUCUUCCCCUUCCUUUUCCUAGGCUGCCCUCAUACAGCUUGCCCAAUUUUGUAAAAUCCAAACAUGAAUCAAGGGCUUCAAAAACAUGGCUGCUCUCCUUGGACCUAGCUCAACUCCUAGCAAUCUUAAAUACGUGAAAUAAGGAGAAAGUGCUUAAAGAACUUGUAGGCUCAAAUGUACGCAUUUCAUCACUAUAAUUCUAAAACGUUGAAACAGAUAAUUUUGAGAGAUAGUUUAUUCAGUCCCUAUGUGUUAAAGGUCGGUUCUGCAUCCAGAAUUGCACACUGAAGAGACUUAUGAGCCAAUUCAACUCUAAAGGAAAGGUUAAUUCGAUGGAGGACAUUUCAAGUAAAAUAUAUGUAAUAACAUGGGAAAAGCAUCCAAGAUGUAUUGUUAAAUAGAAAUGAUCAGGAUAUGAAAUUAUUUACAAAGAAUGAGUAAACCUAUUUUUUAAAGAGGAAAUGUAAGAAAAAAGUAUGCAGAAUAAUAAUGAAAAAAGAAACACUUUCAGAGAAUACAUGAAUAGUAACAAAGAUUGACAAAGUAACGAAGACUUUUUAAACAAAGUGGACUGUUUCUUUUUCUUUCUAUUUUCAUCUAUCUUUCAGUUUUCAUUAUUAACAUAUUACUCUAGUAAUGGAAAAGUCAUGCUCACAGAAUAAUGGUGUGAAAUCCCAUUUGUAGACUGAACUGCUUAAAAAGAAAAAAAAAUACAUUGAUGGAGGUAUGUCAAAGGUACACAUAAGCCAACUGAAAGAUCCCCCAAGGGCCAAAGCUGGAAAAAUGUGAGUAACAAAAUAAAUAAAGUAGUAUUGAGUUAUAACCCAGAGGGUAAAAUAAAUAUUCAUGAGUCUACACUGUUAUAAAUAAAUAAACUAGUGAAUAAAUGGUGGAGAAGAGAAAUUUUUCCAUUACAGAAGAAUUCCAGAUGAUUAAUAUAAUAGAUACUUCACUUUCCAAGAGGUGAAUCAUCACACCCACCUCCUCAAGUUCUCACUGUGCAAAGUGACUUCCUUCCAAGGAGAAAAGUGUAGAAAAGGAGGGGAAAGGCACGUUGACAGUGGGGAGACAGGAAGCCUGACAAGCACCCCUCAGCUGGGAGAGGAAGGUCAAUGGACACAGUGAUUGAUCACAUCGAUAGUGUGACUUGUGGACACUUAUGAAUUGGGAAAGCAGCACAGAAGAAUAUACAUCACCAUAUGUCCAAUAGAUAGCAGGUGGGAAUUUGCUGAAUGACAUGGGGAGCAGUGUUCUGUGACAACCUAGA